AGCUCGAACGGCAUCGCGGGAAAGCUUGCUUUCCUGGCGGCGAGGUGGCGAACGGGUGAGUAACACAUCGGAACGUACCGGCUAGUGGGGGAUAACCCGUCGAAAGACGGGCUAAUACCGCWUACGCUCUUAGGAGGAAAGCAGGGGACCUUUGGGCCUUGCGCUAGCCGAGCGGCCGAUGUCCGAUUAGCUAGUUGGUGGGGUAAAGGCCUACCAAGGCGACGAUCGGUAGCGGGUCUGAGAGGACGAUCCGCCACACUGGGACUGAGACACGGCCCAGACUCCUACGGGAGGCAGCAGUGGGGAAUCUUGGACAAUGGGGGCAACCCUGAUCCAUCAAUGCCGCGUGGGUGAAGAAGGCCUUCGGGUUGUAAAGCCCUUUCGGCAGGGAAGAAAUCGGCGGGGCGAAUAACCCUGCUGGAUGACGGUACCUGCAGAAGAAGCACCGGCUAACUACGUGCCAGCCGCCGCGGUAAUUCA
rnacentral:rRNA from 1 species